rnacentral:tRNA from 4 species
GGGCGGUUAGCUCAGUUGGUUAGAGCAUUGCGUUGACAUCGCAAAGGCCGUAGGUUCGAGUCCUAUACCGCCCA